CCUACGGGUGGCAGCAGUGGGGAAUAUUGCGCCAUGGGCGAAAGCCUGACGCAGCGACGCCGCGUGAGGGAUGAAGGUCUUCGGAUCGUAAACCUCUGUCAGCAGGGAAGAACGGUCACUGUGCUAAUCAGCAGUGAAUUGACGGUACCUGCACAGGAAGCACCGGCUAACUCCGUGCCAGCAGCCGCGGUAAUACGGAGGGUGCGGGCGUUAAUCGGAAUUCCUGGGCGUAAAGCGCUCGUAGGCGGUAUGUCAAGUCAAGUGUGAAAUCCCCGCGCUCAACGUGGGAACUGCCUUGGAAACUGGCAAACUGGAGUGUGGGAGAGGAUGGUGGAAUUCCAGGUGUAGGGGUGAAAUGCGUAGAUAUCUGGAGGAACAUCAGUGGCGAAGGCGACUAUCUGGCACAUAACUGACGCUGAGGAGCGAAAGCGUGGGUAGCAAACAGGAUUAGAUACCCCUGUAGUC
rnacentral:rRNA from 1 species